rnacentral:rRNA from 1 species
CGUACACUCCUGCGGGAGGCAGCAGUGGGGAAUAUUGCACAAUGGGCGCAAGCCUGAUGCAGCCAUGCCGCGUGUAUGAAGAAGGCCUUCGGGUUGUAAAGUACUUUCAGCGGGGAGGAAGGCAAUACGGUUAAUAACCGUGUUGAUUGACGUUACCCGCAGAAGAAGCACCGGCUAACUCCGUGCCAGCAGCCGCGGUAAUACGGAGGGUGCAAGCGUUAAUCGGAAUUACUGGGCGUAAAGCGCACGCAGGCGGUCUGUCAAGUCGGAUGUGAAAUCCCCGGGCUCAACCUGGGAACUGCAUUCGAAACUGGCAGGCUUGAGUCUUGUAGAGGGGGGUAGAAUUCCAGGUGUAGCGGUGAAAUGCGUAGAGAUCUGGAGGAAUACCGGUGGCGAAGGCGGCCCCCUGGACAAAGACUGACGCUCAGGUGCGAAAGCGUGGGGAGCAAACAGGAUUAGAAACCCGGGUAGUCCCAUGAU